GUCUGACCUGCCCAGUGAGGAGUUUAACGGCCGCGGUAUAUUGACCGUGCAAAGGUAGCAUAAUCAUUAGUUUUUUAAUUGAAAGCUUGAAUAAAAGGUUUGAUGAAAAAAAUUCUGUCUCUGUAAAAAUUUAUUAGAAUUUUAUUUUUAAGUAAAAAAGCUUAAAUAUCAAUAGAAGACGAGAAGACCCUAUAGAAUUUUAUGUUUUGCUUGUAGUUAAAUUUAAAGUAAGUAAAAUUUUAUUAUUUGUUAAAAUAUUUUGUUGGGGUGAUAGAAAAACUAAAUUAACUUUUUUUUAAUUAAUACAUUAAUUUGUGAUUAAAUGAUCCUAAAGUUUAGAUUAUAAGAUUAAAUUACCUUAGGGAUAACAGCGUAAUUUUUCUUAGAGUUCUUAUUGAAAGAAAAGAUUGCGACCUCGAUGUUGGAUUAAAAUUAAUUAUUGGUGUAGAAGCUAAUUAAAUUAGGUCUGUUCGACCUUUAAAAUUUUACAUGAUCUGAGUUUAAACCGGUGUGAG
rnacentral:rRNA from 1 species